rnacentral:misc_RNA from 1 species
GAGGAAGAACGCAGCGAAAUGCGAUAAGUAGUGUGAAUUGCAGAAUUCAGUGAAUCAUCGAAUCUUUGAACGCACAUUGCGCCCUUUGGUAUUCCUUAGGGCAUGCCUGUUCGAGCGUCAUUUAAACCUUCAAGCUCAGCUUGGUGUUGGGUGACUGUCCGCUUCACCGCGGACUCGCCUCAAAAUUAUUGGCGGCCGGUACAUUGGCUUCGAGCGCAGCAGAAACGCGAACUCGGGCCCGUCGUAUUGGCUCCCAGAAGCUAUCUUCACAAUUUUGACCUCGGAUCAGGUAGGGAUACCCGCUGAACUUAAGCAUAUCAAUAAGCGGAGGA